rnacentral:misc_RNA from 1 species
AUCAACAAAGAAUAAAGAUCAAGUGGAAGAUCAUUCUGAUGUUAAAAGUGAUGGGAAAAUUCUUUUGAGUUCCUUCUUGCCUUCAAAACCAAUACCUGUGAUAUCAUCACGCACAUCUCAGGAAAGAAGCACACCUCCUUGGGCUUCUGGAACUCCUCUUCUUUCUCGGACAUCUCUUAGAGACAUCCAAAUGCAGCAGGGGAAACAGCAGCAGAAUAGUUCCCAUAGUCCGAAGGCAAGAACAACUGGAUUCUCAAUUGUAUCCAGCCAAGGAUCACCAUCAGAUUCUCCAGGGUUGAACCGCUGGUUCAAACCUGAGAUAUGCACACCGC